AAAAGCUCGUAGUUGAACUUCAGGCCUGGUUGGGCGGUCCGCUUAACGGCGUGUACUGUCUGACUGGGUCUUACCUCUUGGUGAGCCGGCGUGCCAUUUAUUUGGUGCGUCGGGGAACCAGGACUUUUACCUUGAGAAAAUUAGAGUGUUCAAAGCAGGCUUACGCCUGAAUACAUUAGCAUGGAAUAAUAAAAUAGGACGUGCGGUUCUAUUUUGUUGGUUUCUAGAGUUGCCGUAAUGAUUAAUAGGGAUAGUUGGGGGCAUUGGUAUUGAGUCGCUAGAGGUGAAAUUCUUGGAUUGACUCAAGACCAACUAUUGCGAAAGCAUUUGCCAAGGAUGUUUUCAUUAAUCAAGAACGAAGGUUAGGGGAUCGAAAACGAUCAGAUACCGUUGUAGUCUUAACAGUAAACUAUGCCGACUAGGGAUCGGACAACCUCAAUUUUGAUGUGUUGUUCGGCACCUUACGAGAAGUCAAAGUCUUUGGGUUCUGGGGGGAGUAUGGUCGCAAGGCUGAAACUUAAAGGAAUUGACGGAAGGGC
rnacentral:rRNA from 1 species